rnacentral:tRNA from 1 species
CAAAAUGUAGCUAAAACAGUAAAGCACCUCUCUUACACUGAGAAGAUAUCCGUGCAAUUCGAAUCAUUUUGA